ncrna:Petromyzon marinus (sea lamprey) microRNA pma-mir-24 precursor
AUCUUCUGUGCCUACUGUUCUGACAUCAGUCGUCUAUAAAAAGCACUGGCUCAGUUCAGCAGGAACAGAAGUC